rnacentral:lncRNA from 1 species
AUGAGAAUACAGUGUUCUCCAGCCCAACCAGGGAUGUCAUCUACCUCCCUUGCCUCCCUGACCACGUUUCUUUCAGGAGAGCUCUACAGUCAUCCUUCAAAGUUUGAAAGAACUCCUGGGUCUCCGUUACCAGUGCACACCACUCUCCCAAAGCCACCCUUUCUCCAGGACUCUGCACUCUGCACAGUCCGACUGGCGGGGUCGCCAAAGGAUCACAAGCAUAAAAACCUCAAGUUCCAGCCUUGAACAUAGGAAACCAGGGAGGAAGCCCAUCAGCGAGUGUCAUCUGUUAAUAGCCGGGGCUACCCGUUUGCACUGGAGGAAGGCAGAGUGAGUCGAGGAGCACGGAACAGCAAGGGACACCCCCAUCGGUAAUCCUGAUAUUCUGCUAAUGUGUAUUCCUAGUGGCCAUGGCACCCACUGCUUCUAGUGACCCUCCUGCUCCAGGAGGACCUGGUGGCUACCAUGCUUAGACCAUUAACAUCUGUGUGGGUUCCUGGAAUUCCUGCCGGCAGCACAAAAGGCUGAGUGGUGAGAGAUGGAGAAGCGGCCACUGGGUCCCGGCCCCCCUGCCCACAUCCUAGGAGAGGAGGUGCUUUGGCAGUUGUGGUCUUCGGCGCGAGGACCCGGCCGGCUUCCUCAGACACAUACUUCCCAGAGACACUUUGCCCAGCCCAGGCCACUGCCAUGUCUUCUGGAUUCUUCCCUGGAGCAGCUCUGGGCUGAUUUUUGUGGAAUGUGCAAAAGCCACUCUGUUUAAGCACAGCGCUGGCCUUCUUGUUGCCUUGAUUUGAAACCCCAGGCUUGAGAGAAAUCCUGCCUCCUCAGUGUGGCUUUCGAGGCCUAGUGCCAGCUGGUCCAGUCUCAGCCUCGC